GCUAGAAGAGAAACCACAGCUAAGACAAAUAGCUGCAAGAAUCAAACAUUACUUGGUUUGGGUUGCACAUCCUCGGACACAGCAAACAACCUGGCCUGAAUCUUAUUGGCGAAUCCAAACUUGAAUACAUUUAUUGACUCAUUUGUUGUAUGAGCUCCACAAAAUACACAGAGGACCAGAGGAAUAUGAACAUAUCUGCCAUCAAUCGUAGCUGUAGGCAUAUUUUUGAAGACGAAGGGCUGUAAAAGACUCCCAGAAAUGUG